GGGCUAUCACUACACACAACAAAUGCAUCUAAAAUCUUCCUCAACCCUGAAAUUCCAGAGGCAGACCAAAUUAUUGAGAGGUAUUGUGAAAGAGAUGUUAUUCCAACUAUGAUUGGAAUCGAUGAAAGCACCCAAGGAACAAUUGAAGAGCAAAUGUUGUACAACAGAAAAACAUUGAGGGAAAUUAUAGAAUUGCGAUAUGCUGAUGUCCAAAGAAAGGAAUUUGUAUGCACAACAAAAGCAACAAUUGAUGAUAUUAUAACAGAUAAAGGCUGGUGGUACAUGGCAUGCAAACUUUGCUUUGUGCUACAAAAAAGGAACAUGAUAACUACAUUUGCACUUCCUGUCAUGAAGUAGCUCAAAAUCCAGACAAGCGGUGAGCAUGUUGUGCACUAGAUUGUCUUUGGUUCCAUUUGUUUUAAUAAUAUACCACUAAUAACUUGACAACAUCAUAUUAGGUACCUACUUAAACUGAAGGUACGCGAUG